GUAGGGAAUCUUCCACAAUGGACGAAAGUCUGAUGGAGCAACGCCGCGUGAGUGAAGAAGGGUUUCGGCUCGUAAAGCUCUGUUGGUAGUGAAGAAAGAUAGAGGUAGUAACUGGCCUUUAUUUGACGGUAAUUACUUAGAAAGUCACGGCUAACUACGUGCCAGCAGCCGCGGUAAUACGUAGGUGGCAAGCGUUGUCCGGAUUUAUUGGGCGUAAAGCGAGUGCAGGCGGUUCAAUAAGUCUGAUGUGAAAGCCUUCGGCUCAACCGGAGAAUUGCAUCAGAAACUGUUGAACUUGAGUGCAGAAGAGGAGAGUGGAACUCCAUGUGUAGCGGUGGAAUGCGUAGAUAUAUGGAAGAACACCAGUGGCGAAGGCGGCUCUCUGGUCUGCAACUGACGCUGAGGCUCGAAAGCAUGGGUAGCGAACAGGAUUAGAAACCCCAGUAGUCC
rnacentral:rRNA from 1 species